CUUUUAAAGACUUAAAUAGGAGAGCAGUUUACUCAAUAUGAUCUAAGACUCCCUAACGUUUCGCAGUGCAUGCUGCUUCAUCAGAGGGAACUAAGGGAAGUGGCGUGAGGGCUCACACAUCUAUAUGAGAGAGACCACAUGGUUGUCCCCGCCCCAAACGAUCUGGGUAAUUCAACUUCCUGUUUGGGUUGGGGAGGUUUCUCUGACUGAGGGUAAUAAUGGUAUACUCCGUCAUGGAGUGUUCCAUUUUCAGGUUUGAGAAGGAGAGUAGGAUGAGAAUGAGGCCUAACUAGGUGAGUAUUAACCGUAUGGUCAUUUCAUGUAUCUUGUUGUGCUUUACUCAUUGCAGGUAGCACCAAGACAUCACCAAACCUUUCUCCAGAGGUGCUGCUCAGAUCGACCGUGGGGCAGUGGGAUGGUCUCCCCCAGGUUGUGGUCCUCUCAGCAGGUCCCUUUUGGAUGGGCAGCGGAGGAAAGGAAGUGGAUUUAUUUUGUCCUCUUAAAAGGUGCGCUGGCUCAGGUGGCUGAAGGAGGCAUGGAAGAUGAAUACCUUUUCUUAUGACCGGACGGACGACCCAUCUUCCAAAACAGGAGCAAGCUAAUAGCCUAGAGAUUGACCAAGACAAAUAGAAUUUUUUUUUUUUUUUUUUUCAAAUAAAUAUAAAA